rnacentral:rRNA from 1 species
CUUGGUCAUUUAGAGGAAGUAAAAGUCGUAACAAGGUUUCCGUAGGUGAACCUGCGGAAGGAUCAUUAUUGAUGUUACCAUCAUAAACCACUGUGAACCACCGGGGAAACCCGCAUAUAUACACACCUUUAAAAGUCUAAGUCUAAUAAAGUUAUUAAAUCUUAACAACUUUCAACAACGGAUCUCUUGGCUCUCGCAUCGAUGAAGAACGCAGCGAAAUGCGAUAAGUAAUGUGAAUUGCAGAAUUCAGUGAAUCAUCGAAUCUUUGAACGCACCUUGCGCUCCUUGGUAUUCCGAGGAGCAUGCCUGUUUGAGUGUCUUGUUAAUCAUCAACCUUUGCUUCGCGGUGAAGGCUUGGAUUUGGGGCUGCCGGCGUUUGCGUCGGCUUCCCUUGAAUGCAUUAGUGUUGGCUCUUGCCGCCGUGGGUGUAAUAAUAUUUCACUCUGCGGUUGCUUAAGCGCGAUGCUUACAACCGUCCCCUCCGGGACAAUAACUUUGACCAUCGACCUCAAAUCAGGUAGGACUACCCGCUGAACUUAAGCAUAUCAAUAAGCGGAGGAAAAGAAACUAACAAGGAUUCCCCUAGUAACUGCGAGUGAAGCGGGAAGAGCUCAAAUUUAAAAUCUGGCGUCCUUCGGGCGUCCGAGUUGUAAUCUGGAGAAGCGUUUUCCGCGCCGGACCGUGUAAAAGUCUCCUGGAACGGAGCGUCAUAGAGGGUGAGAAUCCCGUCUUUGACACGGACUGCCGGUGCUUUGUGAUACGCUCUCAACGAGUCGAGUUGUUUGGGAAUGCAGCUCAAAAUGGGUGGUAAAUUCCAUCUAAAGCUAAAUAUUGGCGAGAGACCGAUAGCGCACAAGUACCGUGAGGGAAAGAUGAAAAGAACUUUGGAAAGAGAGUUAAACAGUACGUGAAAUUGUUGAAAGGGAAACGCUUGAAGUCAGUCGCGUUUGCCGGGAUUCAGCUCCGCUCUUGCGGGGUGUACUUUCCGGCCGACGGGUCAACGUCGGUUUCGAUCGGUGGAUAAAGGUGAGGGGAAUGUGGCACCUCCGGGUGUGUUAUAGCCUCUUGCCGGAUGCAUCGGACGGGACCGAGGACCGCAGCGCUUGCGCUAAGGAUGUUGGCAUAAUGGCUUUAAGCGACCCGUCUUGAAACACGGACC